UACGUAGGUGGCGAGCGUUAUCCGGAAUUAUUGGGCGUAAAGAGCGCGCAGGUGGUUGAUUAAGUCUGAUGUGAAAGCCCACGGCUUAACCGUGGAGGGUCAUUGGAAACUGGUCGACUUGAGUGCAGAAGAGGGAAGUGGAAUUCCAUGUGUAGUGGUGAAAUGCGUAGAGAUAUGGAGGAACACCAGUGGCGAAGGCGGCUUCCUGGUCUGUAACUGACACUGAGGCGCGAAAGCGUGGGGAGCAAACAGGAUUAGAUA
rnacentral:rRNA from 1 species